rnacentral:rRNA from 1 species
GAAACUGCGAAUGGCUCAUUAUAUAAGUUAUCGUUUAUUUGAUAGUACCUUACUACUUGGAUAACCGUGGUAAUUCUAGAGCUAAUACAUGCUAAAAACCCCGACUUCGGAAGGGGUGUAUUUAUUAGAUUAAAAACCAAUGCCCUUCGGGGCUCCUUGGUGAUUCAUGAUAACUUCUCGAAUCGCAUGGCCUUGCGCCGGCGAUGGUUCAUUCAAAUUUCUUCCCUAUCAACUUUCGAUGUUUGGGUAUUGGCCAAACAUGGUUGCAACGGGUAACGGAGGGUUAGGGCUCGACCCCGGAGAAGGAGCCUGAGAAACGGCUACUACAUCCAAGGAAGGCAGCAGGCGCGCAAAUUACCCAAUCCCGACUCGGGGAGGUAGUGACAAUAAAUACUGAUACAGGGCUCUUUAGGGUCUUGUAAUUGGAAUGAGUACAAUUUAAAUCCCUUAACGAGGAACAAUUGGAGGGCAAGUCUGGUGCCAGCAGCCGCGGUAAUUCCAGCUCCAAUAGCGUAUAUUAAAGUUGUUGUGGUUAAAAAGCUCGUAGUUGAACCUUGGCCUCGGCCGGCCGGUCCGCCUCAC